AGGUUAAGUUGAUGAGACGGAGCCGCAGCGAAAGCGAGUCUGAAUAGGGCGAAUGAGUAUGAGGUCGUAGACCCGAAACCAGGUGAUCUACCCAUGUCCAGGGUGAAGUUCAGGUAACACUGAAUGGAGGCCCGAACCCACGCACGUUGAAAAGUGCGGGGAUGAGGUGUGGGUAGCGGAGAAAUUCCAAUCGAACCUGGAGAUAGCUGGUUCUCUCCGAAAUAGCUUUAGGGCUAGCCUCAAGAUGAGAGUAUUGGAGGUAGAGCACUGAUUGGACUAGGGGCCCCCAACGGGUUACCGAAUUCAGUCAAACUCCGAAUGCCAAAUACUUAUUCUUGGGAGUCAGACUGCGAGUGAUAAGAUCCGUAGUCGAAAGGGAAACAGCCCAGACCACCAGCUAAGGUCCCAAAGUAUACGUUAAGUGGAAAAGGAUGUGGAGUUGCUUAGACAACCAGGAUGUUGGCUUAGAAGCAGCCACCAUUUAAAGAGUGCGUAAUAGCUCACUGGUCGAGUGACUCCGCGCCGAAAAUGUACCGGGGCUAAACGUAUCACCGAAGCUGUGGAUUGACACCAUUAGGUGUCGAUGGUAGGAGAGCGUUCUAAGGGCGUUGAAGUCAGACCGGAAGGACUGGUGGAGCGCUUAGAAGUGAGAAUGCCGGUAUGAGUAGCGAAAGAAGGGUGAGAAUCCCUUCCACCGAAUGCCUAAGGUUUCCUGAGGAAGGCUCGUCCGCUCAGGGUUAGUCGGGACCUAAGCCGAGGCCGAAAGGCGUAGGCGAUGGACAACAGGUUGAUAUUCCUGUACCACCUAUACAUCGUUUGAACGAUGGGGGGACGCAGAAGGAUAGGGUAAGCGCGCUGUUGGAUAUGCGCGUCCAAGCAGUUAGGCCGGAAACGAGGCAAAUCCCGUUUCCAUUAAGGCGGAGCUGUGAUGGCGAGGGAAAUAUAGUACCGAAGUUCCUGAUUCCACGCUGCCAAGAAAAGCCUCUAGUGAGAUGUAAGGUGCCCGUACCGCAAACCGACACAGGUAGGCGAGGAGAGAAUCCUAAGGUGUGCGAGAGAACUCUCGUUAAGGAACUCGGCAAAAUGACCCCGUAACUUCGGGAGAAGGGGUGCUUUUUAGGGUGAAUAGCCCAGAAAAGCCGCAGUGAAUAGGCCCAGGCGACUGUUUAGCAAAAACACAGGUCUCUGCGAAGCCGCAAGGCGAAGUAUAGGGGCUGACACCUGCCCGGUGCUGGAAGGUUAAGGGGAGAGGUUAGCGCA
rnacentral:rRNA from 1 species